rnacentral:rRNA from 1 species
UGGGGAAUAUUGGACAAUGGGCGCAAGCCUGAUCCAGCAAUGCCGCGUGGGUGAAGAAGGUCUUCGGAUUGUAAAGCCCUUUCGACGGGGACGCGGUACCCGUAGAAGAAGCCCCGGCUAACUUCGUGCCAGCAGCCGCGGUAAUACGAAGGGGGCUAGCGUUGCUCGGAAUGACUGGGCGUAAAGGGCGCGUAGGCGGCUUUUUAAGUCAGGCGUGAAAUUCCUGGGCUUAACCUGGGGGCUGCGUCUGAGACUGGAGGGCUAGAGGCCGAGAGAGGGUGGUGGAAUUCCCAGUGUAGAGGUGAAAUUCGUAGAUAUUGGGAAGAACACCGGUGGCGAAGGCGGCCACCUGGCUCGGUACUGACGCUGAGGCGCGACAGCGUGGGGAGCAAACAGGAUUAGAUACCCGGGUAGU